AUGAACGCUGGCGGCGUGCCUAAUACAUGCAAGUCGAGCGCACAGACGAGGAGCUUGCUCCUCUGACGUUAGCGGCGGACGGGUGAGUAACACGUGGAUAACCUACCUAUAAGACUGGGAUAACUUCGGGAAACCGGAGCUAAUACCGGAUAAUAUAUUGAACCGCAUGGUUCAAUAGUGAAAGACGGUUUUGCUGUCACUUAUAGAUGGAUCCGCGCCGCAUUAGCUAGUUGGUAAGGUAACGGCUUACCAAGGCGACGAUGCGUAGCCGACCUGAGAGGGUGAUCGGCCACACUGGAACUGAGACACGGUCCAGACUCCUACGGGAGGCAGCAGUAGGGAAUCUUCCGCAAUGGGCGAAAGCCUGACGGAGCAACGCCGCGUGAGUGAUGAAGGUCUUCGGAUCGUAAAACUCUGUUAUUAGGGAAGAACAAAUGUGUAAGUAACUAUGCACGUCUGGACGGUACCUAAUCAGAAAGCCACGGCUAACUACGU
rnacentral:rRNA from 1 species